GCUGAAAGAAAAUUUUGCCGUACGCGCAGCGGGUGUUCGUCGCCAAACACCAAUGCUCCUCUUUCUUCUUCCUACAUUCCAGCGUGAGAGCAAGAGAGAGCUAGGGUUAGACCCGAACAUGUCCGGCCGCUUCGACUGUGUUGCGCACGGCCUUGCCAACGUCUGGCUCAAGCGCGAGGCCUUCGUCACGUUCCCCAUUGCCAAUUACCACUCGCUGCAGCCUCGCUGGCACAUGGCCAGAAGCAGCAGCAGCACGAGCCCGCCGGUGCCGGCUGUGCCAUCUGGUUGUCGGACUUCGUCGAUGGCGAACAAGGUGCUUGAUAAAAUGACCACCAUAAGAAGAAGAAGGUACGAGGGGAGAGAGGAAGGACAUGAUGAGGUGGCAGUCAACAGGAAUACCAGGGUCAAAACCAUGCUAACUCAGGGCAAAUACCACUUUGAGUUGGGGGAGGGACGGAACUUAUCCGGUUUCAAGAGUUAAAGGUGCAAAUUGUCUGGUUUCAGAAUUGAGGGAUCAAAUUUAGACUUCACCCAAAGUUCAGGGAUGAAAAGUAUACUUUUCUCUUUUGUUAUUGUACCAAUUGUGUACGUUUUGUGAUGGUAUGCUCUCUUUCAGGUUGCUAAGGCUAAGCCACAUGGACCUCCAGCAGUUAUAUGGAGUCUUGGCUGUACAGUUUUGGAGAUGCUGACCGCCAAAGUUCCAUACCCUGAUAUGGAAUGGACACAUGCUUUGCUCAAAAUUGGUAGGGGAAUACCACAAAAAAUUCUCAAUACGUUAUCAGAAGAUGCCCGGUAUUUCAUAGCAAAGUGUGUUCAAGCAAACCAAAAGGACCGGCCAUCUGCUGCUCAGCUGUUGGAGCACCCUUUUGUGAAGAGACCACUGCAACAUUAAGGCGUGCGAUGUACAUAUUGCUAACACAUUUGCUUGUACAUAAGCUGCUUUUAAUUUCGCAUGUGGAAAGGUGUGGGUGAUACCGAGGAGUGAAGAUGAUCCUACAGCCCAAAAGUGUUCCUUGUUCACGCUCCCGCUUUAAUUGUUUCCCGGAGAUUUCAACAUUGAGAUAGCUAGCUUCCAACAUGAGGAGCACCUAUCGGCAUUCAGUUGAAAGGUAGCUCUGAAAUAUGAGUGAGAUAUGUUUACUUAAGAGGUACCUUGUUGUUGGCUGAUAGGAUUUGUUUCUCAUGGAGCCCGUAGCCUAGUCUCAGAGUGUGGAAUGAAAGAUUUACAGUGUGGGGUGCUAAGCGCUCACACAACAGUUCACUCUUCGACCGUGUUUACAUACCUGUACAGUUCACUUACUGUUGCCAAUGCAAACUGAUCCUAUUGUCCAUGUUGUUAACUACUCCCUCCGUUCCAGAAUAGAAUAAGUGCCUGAGGUAAAACCACGCCACGCGGCACUUAUUUUGGAAUGGAGGGACUAUUUGACUGUGAUCUUGCUCCAUACCUGUACAGUUCAGUUCCUAUGGAAAUACAAUCUGUUUCUACCACAGAAGGUCCAGAAUCUCAGUGUCUAUGUCAUAUAUAGCACGAGAUGCGCAUACACGGCCAUGUAUGCAGAUUUGCUUAGAAGAUCUGCAGUGCUACUUCUGGCCUGCUCAUCAAAAGAUUCAUCUCAUCACCUAUUGUAUUACUGUACAUGUUGGAUCCUUUUCAGUUUUCACGAUACCCAAAGAACUAAAGAUACAACAAAUUUCUAAUCUACUAUUGGUUAUUUUCCUCUUAUGUUCUCAUGGAUGCAAGCAAAGCAGUAGCCUCUAUAGAUGUUUGAUCCUUUUCGUCUUACUCCAAAUACACCUGAUCAUGGACGUCGUGAUUAAGGCAUGGCCCCAAACAGCAGCCGUGUACAAGGAGACUAUUUCUGCCUUUCUGGUGUCGCUCAUUCCUAACAUUUUUUUUCCAAACCAACCUAUGGAGAAGGCCUUUUUGUUUCUCUUGUAACGCAAACCAGGGAAAUGCUUGUUUGGGUGUAUCUUUUUGUUUGCACCAUGUUCUCUUCUUACC